rnacentral:tRNA from 1 species
GCGGAAGUGCUGGAAUUGGCAGACAGGCAGCACUAAGGAUGCUGUGCUCCCUGAGCGUGUGGGUUCAAGUCCCAUCUUCCGCA